rnacentral:misc_RNA from 1 species
UCCUAGCCCUGAUAAAAGCGGUUACCCCGCAGCUGGGAGUGGAAGGGUUUGAGGGUUUAGGUGCUGGAAUGCGUUGGCGUGAGGAGUAUGAGCGGAUAGCAGGAAAUAGC